rnacentral:rRNA from 1 species
GACGAACGCUGGCGGCGUGCUUAACACAUGCAAGUCGAGCGGUAAGGCCUUUCGGGGUACACGAGCGGCGAACGGGUGAGUAACACGUGGGUGACCUGCCCCUUACUCUGGGAUAAGCCUGGGAAACUGGGUCUAAUACCGGAUAUGACUUCUCAUCGCAUGGUGGGUGGUGGAAAGUGGUGUUUUCGGACGCUUUCGGUGGGGGAUGGGCCCGCGGCCUAUCAGCUUGUUGGUGGGGUGAUGGCCUACCAAGGCGACGACGGGUAGCCGGCCUGAGAGGGCGACCGGCCACACUGGGACUGAGACACGGCCCAGACUCCUACGGGAGGCAGCAGUGGGGAAUAUUGCGCAAUGGGCGGAAGCCUGACGCAGCGACGCCGCGUGGGGGAUGACGGCCUUCGGGUUGUAAACCUCUUUCGCCAGGGACGAAGCGGGAGUGACGGUACCUGGAUAAGAAGCACCGGCCAACUACGUGCCAGCCGCCGCCGUAAAAC